AUUGAACGCUGGCGGCAGGCCUAACACAUGCAAGUCGAGCGGAUGAAGGGAGCUUGCUCCUGGAUUCAGCGGCGGACGGGUGAGUAAUGCCUAGGAAUCUGCCUGGUAGUGGGGGAUAACUUCCGGAAACGGGCGCUAAUACCGCAUACGUCCUGAGGGAGAAAGUGGGGGAUCUUCGGACCUCACGCUAUAAGAUGACCCUAGGUCGGAUUAGCUAGUUGGUGGGGUAAAGGCCUCCCAAGGCGACGAUCCGUAACUGGUCUGAGAGGAUGAUCAGUCACACUGGAACUGAGACACGGUCCAGACUCCUACGGGAGGCAGCAGUGGGGAAUAUUGGACAAUGGGCGAAAGCCUGAUCCAGCCAUGCCGCGUGUGUGAAGAAGGUCUUCGGAUUGUAAAGCACUUUAAGUUGGGAGGAAGGGCAGUAAGUUAAUACCUUGCUGUUUUGACGUUACCAACAGAAUAAGCACCGGCUAACUUCGUG
rnacentral:rRNA from 1 species